AGGAUACCUGACAUGUUUCUGAAACCCUUUUGUUAUCUCCAAUCUCAAAUCCCCCUUUUAUGGUAUGUUUUAGGAUACCUGACAUGUUUCUGAAACCCUUUAGCUAUCUCCCAUCUCAAAUCCCCCUCAUGGUAUAUUUUAGGAUACCUGACAUGUUUCUGAAACCCUUUAGCUAUCUCCCAUCUCAAAUCCCCCUCUUAUGGUAUGUUUUAGGAUACCUGACAUGUUUCUGAAACCCUUUAGCUAUCUCCCAUCUCAAAUCCCCC
rnacentral:lncRNA from 1 species